GUGCCAGCCGCCGCGGUAAUACGGAGGGUGCGAGCGUUAAUCGGAAUUGCUGGGCGUAAAGGGCGCGUAGGCGGUCGCGCAAGUCGGGUGUGAAAGCCCCGGGCUCAACCUGGGAAUUGCAUUCGAUACUGCGUAACUAGAGUCUGGUAGAGGGAAGCGGAAUUCCGCAUGUAGCGGUGAAAUGCGUAGAUAUGCGGAGGAACACCAGUGGCGAAGGCGGCUUCCUGGACCAAGACUGACGCUGAGGCGCGAAAGCGUGGGGAGCAAACAGGAUUAGAUACCCUGGUAGUCCACGCCCUAAACGAUGAGGACUAGACGUUGGGGGAUAAAACCCUUUAGUGUCGCAGCUAACGCGUGAAGUCCUCCGCCUGGGGAGUACGGCCGCAAGGUUGAAACUCAAAUGAAUUGGCGG
rnacentral:rRNA from 1 species